rnacentral:rRNA from 1 species
GACGAACGCUGGCGGCGUGCCUAAUACAUGCAAGUCGAACGCUUUUUCUUUCACCGGAGCUUGCUCCACCGAAAGAAAAAGAGUGGCGAACGGGUGAGUAACACGUGGGUAACCUGCCCAUCAGAAGGGGAUAACACUUGGAAACAGGUGCUAAUACCGUAUAACACUAUUUUCCGCAUGGAAGAAAGUUGAAAGGCGCUUUUGCGUCACUGAUGGAUGGACCCGCGGUGCAUUAGCUAGUUGGUGAGGUAACGGCUCACCAAGGCAACGAUGCAUAGCCGACCUGGGAUGGUGAUCGGCCACACUGGGACUGAGACACGGCCCAGACUCCUACGGGAGGCAGCAGUAGGGAAUCUUCGGCAAUGGACGAAAGUCUGACCGAGCAACGCCGCGUGAGUGAAGAAGGUUUUCGGAUCGUAAAACUCUGUUGUUAGAGAAGAACAAGGAUGAGAGUAGAACGUUCAUCCCUUGACGGUAUCUAACCAGAAAGCCACGGCUAACUACGUGCCAGCCGCCGCGGUAA